rnacentral:lncRNA from 10 species
GCAGCCACCGUCCCCACGCUGGGGCUUCAGGUCUCCUAGCAACAAGUUGUACCAUAUGAGGACGGCCGCUGAGAUAUAUGUAGAAAAAACUCUGGCCAUUAUCAAACCAGAUAUUGUUGACAAAGAGGAGGAGAUACAAGAUAUUAUUCUUAGAUCCGGAUUCACCAUUGUUCAGGUAACUUCUGGGUAUGAUGAUUCAUGCUUUUUUCCUCUCUGCCCUUAAAAAAAAAAUGCUUAUGUAAAUGUGCCUACCCAUUUAAACCCUUAGUGUUCAGCAUUAAAUUUAAGUUUAUUCUUCUAAGUAUAAAAGUUAUAUGUGAUAGUUUUUAAAAGGAUGUAAAAUGAGAAAUAAAAUGGACUUUUCCUUCACCUGUCCUCUUUUACCCCAAGUCCCAGGCUCCAGAGAGAGGCAACCACUUAACACUUUCUGUUCUUCCAGGAGUUUUCUAUGCAUUUAUAAACAUUUUCCCCCCAUAAAACAGAACA